GAGAUGGUGGUUGCUAAGCAAAAGCUUGCCUUGAAUCAUGAGGCGUGAGGUCAAAAUGCAGACGGAUUAGAAACAGUUCAACGGUUGGUGUUAAUGCCCCUUCGUUUCGUUUGGCGGUUAGUAUGGACAGUUCAACGGUUUGAAAAGAACCGUCUGCCCUGGACUGUGUAGCUUCACGGGCAACUGGAGGUUACAUGCACCUUUUCCCUGUGGCAAUUUUUUUAUCCAUAUAAAAGGGUUUUCUGUGUCAACUCUCAGUUGUGAAAUAAGAUUUUUUUAAAUCUUUCCCUGCCACAUUUUUGUGAGGAUGAUUUCAUUGAUUGCAAUUGUUACUUGCUUUUUAUACAUACAUAUAUACACGUAGAAUCUAAUAUUACUCAACACUAAGGACUGUAAAGCUUCAAGUAACGUUAAUAUUGCAGCACAUGAUAUAUCAAUGCAUGUUGUUUUCCCAUUAAGGUUGCAUGUAAUCAAACCUGCGCUGUAUAUAUGCCCCCAAAAGGAGGGCAGUGUUGAAUACAUCCCAAGGCACAUGGAAUGCAUUUUCCAUUCCCAAAAGGUAAUCAAGGAUAUGUGCCAGGAGGCCCGCUGGAGUGAAAGAUAAGCAGAAACUCCUGCCUGUGUAACAGGUGGUUUUUCUUUCAUUUCUCUGAUUAUGUGUUUACCUAACCCACUCGAAAAUAUGGUAGUGUGACCUCAUGCGCACCGUUUCAUGAUGACUAUAAAGGACACCCACCCAGGGUAGCAUUUUCCAGGGCACUACGAUGGCACAUGGCUAUGUCAACAAACUUUGUCAAAGCACUGUAAGGUACUGUGUGGCCGCAAAACACCCGAGUAUCAAAAUAUUUUGAAACACCUGUUAUCCGUUUAAAAAUAGAUGAGAAGGGAUUGAAAAACAUCAAAAUCGACCCCCUUCUACUGUUAAUUGUUCCACCACUUCCUUGCUAAAGACAGGUUUGCCUUCCCUUACCCCCAGAAUAGAGUACCCAACCCCCUCCUGGAAAAAACCUGGCUAUAAUGUGCAGAUCUUCACACAGUACAGUGGACUAUGAACUUAACACAAAGCGCAAAUUGUAUGUAUGCAACAUACUGCUGGCUAGUGCUCUGUGCUGUGUUUGUCCAGAGCACUGAUGCCUCACUGCUGUCAUUCAGUAGUUUUGUUGGCUGAUCUUGUGAGGCUAGAUACUGGGUCCUGCCGUAGCGCAUGCAGUGAGGUAUUUCAUGAGUAUGCAUGUUUGACGUAUGUUCGUUCUGAAUGUGCAUGCCAGGUUGGUGUAGCUGGGGGAGUCAGGUUGGUGUAGUGCCUCUUUCCUUGCCUUCCAUCUCUGCAGCCCGGGUUCGAAUCCCACCUAGGUCAGCACGUGGAUUUGGUUUUCAGUCCCUGCCUGAUUCCAUGUGUAAUCUUUAUCUGGGGUUUCUUUCCACUUCUAAAACUGAACAUUUCUUCGUUGUCUUCUUCACUGUCACUUCAUCGUGUAAUUGACGUACAUGUGCAGUCAGAUGAACAGAAAUAAAUAAAUUUUGAAGAGCAUGCCAUGCACGCCGUCGAGGUAAAAUUUGAUACAUGUAUGACUGAAUGCAGGCAUUAGCAAUAAAAGUUUUAGCUUGAGGAGUCAUUUUGAUAAUCAAGUGAGUCCGUCAGUUAUGAGUAUGAUUGUAAGCCAGAAGUUGACCAACUUGUGUUGACGUUGGUAUAUUCGAAAUGAUGACUGUGUAUAUAAUUGAUACGGUGAGAAUGGGAACGACAACGUUUUUGCAGAUAUAUAUUUUGUACUACCGUGGUCUGUUGUGUGUUUGUAUGUUACCACUAGAAGGCAGGUCUGUGGCAUGUGAAAGAACACUACCCGUAUGAAAAUGUGUUAUUUACCUAUCCAUAUGUCAUCCAUGCUGGUGUAUUUGCCAGUUCCUUUGACAAAGUUGCUUGUAGUUUUGUCUUGUCCAUUCUUCCUGGUUGGUAGUUGUUGAUUAGAGGAUGUUUACACUUUUGGUCUCUGGUCACAUUGAGGCAUUCACCUUUGGGGGAUAAAAAAAAUACCAACAUGCUUACCCACCACCUUGCAGGCUUGUGAUAAAUUCCUUCCUAGCUCAGUCACAAGUUGAAUCGCAAGUCAGUCGCAAGUAAGUCAGAUGACCAGCCAACCUGGAUGACUUGUGGUUGGGGGCGGGGUCUGGACCACAGCACUGUCUUCAAGGUUUGCAAGAGUCACUCGUGAACAGGUGUAAGAAAUGCCUCUGCCAUGCCUCCCUAACUUAUGGGCAAAGUUUCACGUCUUCCAAGAGGAAACAGAGCUGUGGUUGCUUUUUUUUUCCCCUGGUAGCACAGGGUAACGAAAGAGACUUUUAUCUAAACGCCUUGCCCCGAUCAACCCCAGCAGUGCCCUGUAGGCACCUACAUGAAAUGAAAUAUUUCACCAAAUGUCUAAAUCGGGUCAUAAAUGAUGAGUUGAAGUAACGGAUCCAGUUUGGCUGGCUCAUUUUGACAUUUUCACCAGGUGUUUAUUUCUGAUGUCAUGUCGGUAAAAAAAAAAGGAGUCAGAGGCAUAGUGUAAUGUCAUGCAAUCUGAAUAUCUCACAGUCAGCAGUAUUUUAAUGUCAAAGGUUUUGAGGGGAAUUUAUCUGUAAGCUCUACAUGCAAUUGCAUAUGUUCCACAUAGUGCAAGGCUGACAUGGAAGAGACACACAUGCACUUCACUACAUUAUUUUGUGUUCUUACAUUUGUGGAAUUCUGAAUUUUAAAUCUUCCCUUGGUGCUUGUGCUCUACUUUUUAAUUCCCGGUUGACUAUGCUGCUUUGUCUGAAUCUUUAUGCCUUAGGGGCGCGACGUGCUUUACCUUGGAAUAGUGCAAUAUGGGUGUUCCAAUAUGGGCUGUGGUAUAUUGGUGUACAUGUACAUUGCAUUGUCUGUUGCCACCGAAUCGACCUGAGGUAGAACUGAAGUUGGUUCCAAGAUGAGCACAUGAUGUGUUAUGUGCCAUUCACUGACCUGCCACUCUGUGUGAUGUGACAGUUGGUUUUGAUGUCGGGGAAAUUCCAUCAAAAGAGAGCACUGUUUUGGACCGAUUAAAUUGGAAAUGGCAGUUUGGUUUUUGGCUCUACUGGGGCAUCUAAAUGCAUGUACAUUGUAACUGGGAACUCAGUAGGAAUAAAGGAGGAAAAUUCCACAUCUCGCAAGAUUUUGCACCAUCUUUUCGAUGUCUAAAGGCACAUAUGUAAAACGGCAAAAAAGAAAAGGAAAUUUAGCUGAUCUGAACAAAAGUUGUAUGCCUACAUGAAUACUCAUUUGCUAUUUUGACACAUGUUGUGUCAUUGAACAAUUUUUGUAUACACUUUAACCAGUGGCGUAACUAGGGCCAUUAUGUUGGGGGGGGGGCACCCGGGGUGCACACAUUUUUCAAGGGGGCACCAAAAGACAAAGAGCUGCAACAGAGGUUGUUCCAUGGAUUUCAAAUAGGGGGGGGGCACUUGGCGGGGAUGCUCUCCCCCCCCAUAGUUAAGCCACAGAUGUUAACACAGUACAAAAAGUUGCAUGUACAUAGCUGGGAUGUUCGUAUAGCUGUGUUUAAUUCAGAGUGGCUAAGCCAAUAUACAUACAAACAGUAAAGUUCAAACAGUUGAUAUACAUGUAGCAUGGUUGCCCACUACUGAGGUGAGAGAUAAACAUGUAAAAUUGCAAUACAAUUUGACCUAGAAUUCUGUUGUCGUCAUUUAUGGUGCAUGGUCUCAGCAUGUAUGCCUACUUGCAUCAAGCACCUCACUGGGAAGGUUGAUGUAGAUAAGCCAUCUUUUUUUGGUAAAAUGGGUAUUUUGUGACAACAGUGUGUCCAAUAUUCAUAACAUUGGUGUCACAGUGAUAUGUGAGACAAUACUAAAACAGGCGAGAAGAUGCGGGGGGGGUUCGAUUUUCCCCCACCUCUUUCAGGGUUAAACAAACAGCAUAGCAAUCCAGAUCAUUUUCUUUUUGCAACUUUGCAAACCACAAAAAGUUCCUCCACACAUUCACAGAGAAAAAAAAUGGAGUACGGCCCGUAUUGUUUUAAGUUUUGACAUUCAGUUAUUUCCGCACGAUUUCUUUGUGUAAUGUAAAGUGCAGUAAAAAUUAUCAAAAAGCUGUGCACAUCUUAGUGAUAUUACUGGAUCUUUUGUUUGUUAGUGAACCAUCGGACAAGACUACCAUUUUGGAAUGAAAUAUUUCCUGAAAACUGUUGUAUCUCCGUUCGGUGAUUUGAAAACUAUAGUGUUAUCCCUAACUAUAUUUUUGUAUGUUAGCUAGUUGUUUAUCGGCAGUUAAAGUACGAAGACGUGAUUUCUGUUAGUCUUUAUGCGAGAGUAGUGUCAUGUUUGCCUCUGUCUUUUUACAACGAAGAACCGUGUUCUCCUGGGAGAACAGCAUGAUUCUUGUGAAACUUUGAAGAAGUGGAUGAGACACUAGUGUCACGCUGUAGAACUUGUUUCUGUGGAAGUGUAUAUACAGCCCUCCAAGUUCCACGAUUCCUAAGAUAGUUUUAUGCUGUGAGGAGUUAUAGUGCGCUUGUAUAUCUCUGAGGACAUGUCAUUGGAAUCUGUGUUUCUGUAUGUCAGAGAAAGUCUCUUUAAUAAAUUAUGCCAGUAAUGAGGCAACUUUGUUGUUUUAAAAAAAUCUAUUGAUUAGUUAAAUGAAUUGCUAUUUACUUUUGAUUUUCUUCCUUGUAAAUUCGCCGAGUAUGAAAUAUGGAGUUACUUCAAGAAUGGCUUUAUCUUCUCUUGUGAUCAGUUUGUAAGAUCUUUAAUUCAUUGUUCAUAGGCAGUGAAAUGUGAAGAUGAAACGGUGGACUUCACUCAGUGAGACUUCCAGUGGGUCCUUUUUGAAUUGUGAAUUUUUCCUUGUCCAUGUAUGGCAACAAAUAUUUGCAUUCUUGAGAUAUUUUGAACAUGAAAUUUACCCAAGAAUGUGAACAAUAGAGAUGUCAUAGGCUCUGGGUACUUAUUCAGUGGUGAGGAUAGUACAGAAAGUUUUCAAUUUAUUAAGCUUAAAAUUUAUCAAGUGGAAAGAAACUUUAUUCCUUCCUUGAUUCGAUGAUUUAUAACAGGUAACAAUUGUAAAUAUUUUCUGUAUUUUAUUAACAUCACCUGAAAGGUCUGAUUAAAACCAUUAGCUUAAACAGAGAACAACCGUCUUUGACUUAAUUAGUAUAUGUGGGAAUCUCAAUCAAAUUCUUGGUCAGAAAAUACAGAAUGAAUAAAUAUGAUUACAAUAUUAAAA